rnacentral:rRNA from 1 species
UACGGAAGGUGCAAGCGUUGUUCGGAAUGACUGGGCGUAAAGCGCACGUAGGCGGUCUCGCAAGUCGGAUGUGAAAUCCCUAGGCUCAACCUGGGAACUGCACUCGAAACUGCUUGACUUGAAUGCUUGAGAGGUUGGUGGAAUUCCAGGUGUAGGAGUGAAAUCCGUAGAUAUCUGGAGGAACAUCGGAGGCGAAGGCGGCCAACUGGCAAUGCAUUGACGCUGAGGUGCGAAAGCGCGGGGAGCAAACAGG